rnacentral:lncRNA from 1 species
AUGCACUAUUACCACUGAGCAUUUACUAUGUUCCAGGCCCUGUGCUAAGCGCAUUGCCUGCUGCGUCUCACCCUUCAGUAGGAGUAGGGGACAGCUCUCCUGCCAGCCAGCCAGCUUGCCAAAGGAAUCUUUCCUGUGCACAGAGAGCACACUGGGCUUGGAGACAUUCUCUGCACAGUGGGAUUUGGGUGGUCAGGACAAGAGGAAGCAAGGGAUGCAGCUAUUUGGGGAAGAGUGUUUCCAGCAGAAGGAAGAAGACCUGCCCAGGUGUCGGAUAAGAGCCUGCUUGGUGCAUUCAGGGAUACGAAGGAGGCCAGCGUGGCUGAGAUGAGGUAGGGGCAGCCGGGGUGAGAACAGGUGGGACUUGCCGGCCAUGAAGAGGACCUUGGAUUGCUGUUGAGUGAAAUGGAAAGCCAAAUGUAGGGUCUUGAACAGAAGAGGGACAUGAUGAGCCUUAUGUUUUGAAAUGAUCAUUCUGGACACCAGAUGGAAAAUAGACAGGGGCUGGGGGUGGGGUUGG